rnacentral:rRNA from 1 species
GAUGAACGCUGGCGGCGUGCCUAAUACAUGCAAGUCGAGCGAACGGACGAGAAGCUUGCUUCUCUGAUGUUAGCGGCGGACGGGUGAGUAACACGUGGAUAACCUACCUAUAAGACUGGGAUAACUUCGGGAAACCGGAGCUAAUACCGGAUAAUAUUUUGAACCGCAUGGUUCAAAAGUGAAAGACGGUCUUGCUGUCACUUAUAGAUGGAUCCGCGCUGCAUUAGCUAGUUGGUAAGGUAACGGCUUACCAAGGCAACGAUGCAUAGCCGACCUGAGAGGGUGAUCGGCCACACUGGAACUGAGACACGGUCCAGACUCCUACGGGAGGCAGCGGUAGGGAAUCUUCCGCAAUGGGCGAAAGCCUGACGGAGCAACGCCGCGUGAGGGAUGAAGGUCUUCGGAUCGUAAAACUCUGUUAUUAGGGAAGAACAUAUGUGUAAGUAACUGUGCACAUCUUGACGGUACCUAAUCAGAAAGCCACGGCUAACUACGUG